CAGUUCAGAUUGCAGGCUGCAACCCGCCCUGCAUGAAGUCGGAAUUGCUAGUAAUCGCGGAUCAGCAUGCCGCGGUGAAUACGUUCCCGGGCCUUGUACACACCGCCCGUCACACCAUGAGAGCCGGGGGGACCCGAAGUCCGUAGUCUAACCGCAAGGGGGGCGCGGCCGAAGGUGGGUCCGGUAAUUGGGGUGAAGUCGUAACAAGGUAAC
rnacentral:rRNA from 1 species